rnacentral:lncRNA from 1 species
CGGAUACAUCCGGGCCGACUAAACCUGGUGCGGGAUAAAGCCCGGCCAGAUAUAGUUGAGCCUGGGACCGCAUAUAGCCAUGGGAUCAUCCGGUGCAUCGCAGGCUAUCGCUGUCUUUGAGCUGAAUUGUUGCAGAGCGGUAGCUGGGGUUGAAACAACAUGGGGGUGUGCCCGAGCGGGGGGUUGUGCCGUAGGUCAUGCCUUGCAUGGGCCGACAUUAAGAGACAGGGCCAGACCUCCAAAACAUAACUUACUAUCAAUUCUACUCCACUAUACUUUGUGUAAGCUUGUAAUUGGGAACGGAUUGCCUGCCGAGUGGAUACAGUGUAGACUUGACAUCACUGGGCGGAAGAGACGACUAUAAUGCAGCUUAUGAACCAAAGCAAGCUGCUACAUCUAGUAGCUCUGCAAUGGUGCAUCAGCCUAUGUACUGGCUGAUAUAUAUAGCCAGGAGCAUUCAGGUUCUCGCGGUCAAAGCUUUUCCUGCGUCACGACCAAGCGCUUCCGGCGGCGUGUCUACUACUAGUCAGUGCACAAAGUAGUGAACUGCGAUCGUUAGCCUCUGAUCAAGCGCCGCUGUAACGUAGGAUACCGACGCUGCAUGGAAAGGAAUUUUACCCACACUCGCUGUGUGACUCAGUGACUGGCAAUGAUGCUACGCUGAGGUGAGCGUCUCCAUAGUUAGUCCGCUGGGGGUGGGGUCUGUACAAAUCCUGGCAGUGGUGAACGCCUCGGCGUGCUUCCCCCUUGUGGUGCCAGAGGCAGUUUCAUGACCGCACCCCACUUCUGGUCGUAUGUGCAGGAUCCAUCGUCGGGCCGUAUGGAUCAGAGUCGGCGUUGGUAUUGCUCAGAAGGUGGGCGACAAGGGGUGUUGGCAGGGUCUAUGUAAGGGUGCAUGCCGUGGUGUUUGCCAGAUGCAGUCCACAUGCGUGGCCCCUGCGUGCACACUGCAUGCUCUGGUUGUCUCCCUAGCACCGCAAUCAUGCAUACGUGCCUCUAAAUCCGGCGCUAUGUGUAUGUGCUCGCAGGGCACACCGCCGCGGCGCCCGAACCACUGUGUAGACAGCGCUAGAUGUAGGAUGGCUCUGUGGUGCUAGGAGCUGUGCUGGAUUGAUGUAGCGGUCAUGGUGGCAGUGUUACCAUCAGCAAAUACAGUAGGGUUGCACUAGUGCGUGGCGCCGCCACCUUGGGCGUGAUGGUCGCACGGGCUGCAGGGGCUCCCCUGGUUGGAGUCGCUAGAGCCUCCGUGCAGCCAUGUCAGGGACAGGCAUGUACGUGCAUGUAACGCGCAUCAGAGAACACGCGCACCCACACGAUCCACUCGCAGGGAGCGUGGGUUUAAGGGCCAGAUGUGUGUGCAAUAGCC